GAUGAAGAACGUAGCGAAAUGCGAUACGUAGUGUGAAUUGCAGAAUUCAGUGAAUCAUCGAAUCUUUGAACGCACAUUGCACCUCUCGGUAUUCCGGGAGGUAUGCCUGUUCGAGCGUCAUUUGUACCCUCAAGCUCUGCUUGGUGUUGGGUGUUUAUUCCGCCUCUGUGUGUGAACUCGCCUCAAAACAAUUGGCAGCCGGCGUACUUGUUUCGGAGCGCAGCACAUUUUGCGAUCCAGGCCAACGUACAGCGGCAUCCAAGAAGCCUUAUUUAACGCUCUUGACCUCGGAUCAGGUAGGGAUACCCGCUGAACUUAAGCAUAUCAAUAAGCGGAGGA
rnacentral:misc_RNA from 1 species